rnacentral:rRNA from 1 species
CACGUAGUUAGCCGUCCCUUUCUGGUAAGCUACCGUCACAGUGUGAACUUUCCACUCUCACACCCGUUCUUGACUUACAACAGAGCUUUACGAUCCGAAAACCUUCUUCACUCACGCGGCGUUGCUCGGUCAGGGUCGCCCCCAUUGCCGAAGAUUCCCUACUGCUGCCUCCCGUAGGAGUCUGGGCCGUGUCUCAGUCCCAGUGUGGCCGAUCACCCUCUCAGGUCGGCUAUGUAUCGUCGCCUAGGUGAGCCAUUACCUCACCUACUAGCUAAUACAACGCAGGUCCAUCUUGUAGUGGAGCAAUUGCCCCUUUCAAAUAAAUGACAUGUGUCAUCCAUUGUUAUGCGGUAUUAGCUAUCGUUUCCAAUAGUUAUCCCCCGCUACAAGGCAGGUUACCUACGCGUUACUCCACCCGUUCGCAACUCAUCCAAAGAAGAGCAAGCUCCUCUCUUCAGCGUUCUACUUGCAUGUAUUAGGCACGCCGCCAGCCGUCGU